rnacentral:rRNA from 1 species
CCUACGGGUGGCUGCAGUGGGGAAUAUUGGGCAAUGGAGGCAAUUCUGACCCAGCAACGCCGCGUGAAUGAUGAAGGUCUUCGGAUUGUAAAGUUCUGUGAUGGGGGAUGAACACAAUGACGGUACCCCAAUAGCAAGCCACGGCUAACUACGUGACAGCAGCCGCGGUCAUACGUAGGAUCCGAGCAUUAUCCGGAGUGACUGGGUGUAAAGAGUUUCGUAGGUGGCAUAAUAAGUAGCUAGGGAAAUCUGGUGGCUCAACCAUUCAGACUAUUAGCUAAACUGUUGAGCUUGAGACCGUUAGGGGUAACUGGAAUUUCUAGUGUAGGAGUGAAAUGCGUAGAUAUUAGAAGGAACACCAAUAGCGUAGGCAGGUUACUGGAACGGUUCUGACACUAAGGCACGAAAGCGUAGGGAGCAAACGGGAUUAGAUACCCUGGUAGUC